UGCUCUUUUAUGAUUAAUUUUUUAUCUCCUGAUAAUACCUUUAAUAAUUUUUCACCCAAAGAUGCCAAUGAGAGAUAGGAACGAAAUUUAAAAUUCCGCAUCUGGCAAAGGAUAUUAAAAUUCUGCUACUAGCAAAACAGGCCAUUACAGUCCUUUUUAGGGUUACAACACCAGGAAGACGAAGGCGCUCGGGUGCCGGACUACGGCCCACAUGUCCGAAGAGGAGAACCAAUGCAGUUCCCAGACUUGCUAAAAAGGGUUAACAAAUACCUAAGAAAAUUGAGACGGCAAUUGUUCCCUCAUGUGACAAGCAGGAGUCCGCUCAUUCCAACGACGACACUUCCAUGCAUUCCUUUUCGUCUGAGGUCCCAACAGUCAGUCAAGACCCUGAGUCAUUACCUGGAAUAGUAUUCUUAUCCGAAGACAGGGAUUCAGGAGUGGAUAAUAGACAUUCCCUCAACCAACUCCUGGUCUUCCUUAGGUGCCGAUUGCCUGAGGGAGGAAGCUGCUUCUAUCAUUAAUUCUUUGGGGUUCGCUCUUUAAUGAUCCAUGAUUCUGGUACGCCCCAGGUGGGCUCAACAGCUCUCCCAUCCAUUGACAAUAUUUUCACAGGUAUAAUCAACGUGGGAACCGCUAGUUUCACAGAGGCAGACUUCGCUAACUUCCCUUCAUUGAAUAUCGCCACAAUAUCUGCAGGGCCGUUGAAGUCAUCACGCGUGCGGUCGCCAGAUGGGGAUUCAGACAGUUUGACCAUCUUCGCAUCUGCGAUAAUGAAGGAAGAUAGUUCCGGCAUCCCCAAAACUAUAGGCUCGCCGAAAAGUAUACACCGGUUAUUGACCAGCCCUUGGUGGCAGGUGUAAUCUGCCUUUAGCCCCUAUUGUUUGCAGACCAUCAUCUUGGACGUUUGCGCUAAAACAGUUAGGAAAGCGAGCUAUAACGUAAACCUAGAGGAUAUCUUAAUAUAUGGAUAUAGUGAAUUCAUGUAAAAUGACCCAUACGAUCGCUUAGAUGAACUCUCGAAGGUUGGAGUCCUAUGAUAGCCGAAGCUAAAUUCGUGCUAGACCAAACCUUACGUAUUAUGUACUUAGGCAUACCUAGUGACAUAAAAAGCCAAAGCUCAGCAGAUAACAACAGGGGCCUGUUUGGAUAAAUGUCUAGAUGUCUUCCUUCAACAUUUACCAACAUUUGGAUAUCGGUCGGACGCUUGCCACAAGAAUUCUGGGAGGGAUGUUCUCACUUUAUUACAUCACUAUGAAUGACUCUAUCUUAAGAUAGGUGGGGAAUAUAUAUCUCGCGUUCCAACAGACGAGUAUGAUAAUCAACGUUCUACUAGCCCUGAUCUUGCUCAGAUACCACACGAUUAACGCAGUAUACAUGAAUACUUCCGAUAACCAUAUAGGGCUCUCCUUUUGGGGUUAGGACAAUUUAUCAAUCUCCUACCAAGAAGCAGUAUUAUUAUUUAACAUUCCGUCGCACGCCAAAGAUGUAUUGACUGCUGGCGUAGGUGCACUAUUAGUAAGAUGGUGUAUCUCCUACCAUCUUUACCGACUCUACUGUCACUUAUUGCGUCUUCAGAAAAGGUGGAUCUAGGUCUCCAUCUAUCGAUAUAGUCCUUACCCAGAUCCUCUUAAGGCCUCCAGCACUUCACGGCAGUAUCCCAGAACAUCAUGUGGAUACCCUGCGAAUGAUCCAGGACACGAUUUGACGACAGAGAAACCCAAUUCUCAGGAUUCGACUCUUGCUCUCAACCCAACGUUCGAUGAAGUCAACUAGGAGCUUUCCCUCUUCGGAUCUGAAACAAUCAAUACUCCACUAAUCCAUUCACAACCACAUGGACCCUUAACGAACUACUAUACAUUCAAACGAUCUUUAACCGAAAAACUUUGAAAACAACCACAAGAUGGACAGAACAAAUUUAUCCUUAUAAUUAGUACAUUGAGACAAGAUGUAGAAUGGUUGUGAAUUAGAUGUGAAUGAUGAAGAAUGGUAAUGGGCAAAUGGUUAACAAUGGGAAUGGGCACUGUGAAUGAGACAAGAUGGAGAAUGGUUUGGAAAACAAUGGUGAAUUAGAUGGGAAUGAUGAAGAAUGGGAAUGGGAAAAUGAUUUGAUUGGCACUGUGAAUGAGACAAGAUGUAGAAUGGUUGUGAAUUAGAUGUGAAUAAUGAAGAAUGGGAAUGGGCAAAUGGUUAACAAUGGUAAGAAUGGGAAUGGGCAAAUGGUUAACAAUGGUAAUUGUCAAAUGGUGAUUUGGUUAACAAUGGUAAUUGUCAAAUGGUGAUUUGGUUAACAAUGGUAAUUGUCAAAUGAUGAUUUGGGGAUGAUGAUGAAUGAUGGGCACUGUGAAUGAGACAAGAUGUAGAAUGGUUGUGAAUUAGAUGUGAAUGAUGAAGAAUGGGAAUGGGCAAAUGGUUAACAAUGGUAAGAAUGGGAAUGGGCAAAUGUUUAACAAUGGUAAUUGUCAAAUGGUGAUUUGGGGAUGAUGAUGGUUUGGAAUGAAAAAUGGUUGGUAAAGGGGGGAAGUGUCGUGAUGACGUUUCACGAUGAUGACGUGUGACGUUGAAGAAAUGUUGUUGUCAAUAAUUAUAUUUUAUAUAUAUAUAUAGAGAUACAUUGUAUAUGCAUAUG